AGCGAACGCUGGCGGCAGGCUUAACACAUGCAAGUCGAACGCCCCGCAAGGGGAGUGGCAGACGGGUGAGUAACACGUGGGAACGUACCCUUUGGUUCGGAUAACCCAGGGAAACUUGGGCUAAUACCGGAUACGUGCGAGAGCAGAAAGAUUUAUCGCUGAAGGAUCGGCCCGCGUCUGAUUAGCUAGUUGGUGGGGUAAUGGCCCACCAAGGCGACGAUCAGUAGCUGGUCUGAGAGGAUGAUCAGCCACAUUGGGACUGAGACACGGCCCAAACUCCUACGGGAGGCAGCAGUGGGGAAUAUUGGACAAUGGGCGCAAGCCUGAUCCAGCCAUGCCGCGUGAGUGAUGAAGGCCUUAGGGUUGUAAAGCUCUUUCGUCCGGGACGAUAAUGACGGUACCGGAAGAAGAAGCCCCGGCUAACUUCGUGCCAGCAGCCGCGGUAA
rnacentral:rRNA from 1 species